rnacentral:rRNA from 1 species
GACGAACGCUGGCGGCGUGCUUAACACAUGCAAGUCGAACGAAGUGGCGAACGGGUGAGUAACGCGUAAUCAACCUGCCCUUCAGAGGGGGACAACAGUUGGAAACGACUGCUAAUACCGCAUACGGAGGAAGGGGAUUGCGCCUGUUUGGCAAGUUGGAGGGGUAACGGCCCACCAAGGCGAUGAUCAGUAGCCGGUCGGCGAGGAUGAACGGCAACAUUGGGACUGAGACACGGCCCAGACUCCUACGGGAGGCAGCAGUGGGGAAUCUGCCGCAAUGGACGAAAGUCUGACGGAGCAACGCCGCGUGAGUGAUGACGGCCUUCGGGUUGUAAAGCUCUGUUAAUCGGGACGCGGUACCGGAAUAGAAAGCCACGGCUAACUACGUGCCAGCAGCCGCGGUAAUAC